UUUUGUUUAUGAAUGAGAUUUAUUCAUAUAUUAAGUGUGUGUAUCUAGAAGUGUAAAGAAAGAACAACAGAAAUCAAAUUAUAUAUAGAUUUUCCCUUUAUUCUUGCAUGCUUAUGAAUAAUAUCUGGAAUUAGAAAUUGAAGGGUUCUUCUUCUUGGCGCGCACGCUAAGCUCUCUCCAAUGGCGGAGGGAAGAGGACGAGGUCAAAAGCUGGUAGUGCAAGAGGAUUUUGUAGUAGCUGAUGGGACUAGAUCGGCGAUUAUCCAUGGUGGGGAAACUGAGAUGGAGGAAGGGGAGGAUCAGGGUGUGCAGGAGGAGCAUAUCUCUUUUGAGAUAGCGAUGGAGACCUUGAAGAGGGACUCUGAUGGUAAGAGUAGUAUGGAUGAUGGGUUAGCUGCUACUGAUGUUGUGUUUCAAGGUGAUUAUGGAUCGAAAGAUCCUAGUGAAAUUGCUGGAUUGUAUCAUGGUAUGGGUUCAAAAUCAUGGACUGAUCUGUUUACUGAUAAUCGGCUCAAGGAGGAUGGGAGUUAAUUGAAGUUUGUACCACCGUCUCUGUCAAAUGACCAAAGAAUUGUUAGAUUUCACUCUGAUGAGCUGGUCCAAGAGGAGCAAAAAUGGAAGAAUGCUUUAUCAGUAUUUGUGUAUGGUUUGCAACCACGGUUAGAAAGAUUGAAUACUUUUGUUCAAGCUAGGUGGAGGAAAUAUGGAGUAUUAACUAUCUCAAGAGUGACUACUGAUCUAUUCAUUGUUCAAUUCUCUAGUGAGGAAGGAGGUGAGCAGUUGAUAAGAGAUGGCCCAUUUACAUUUGAUAAUCACCCCAUUGUGCUGAAAAAGUGGAAGCCAAGAAUGAGCUUAGAUAAUGCAGUUUGUGCUUUGUCCAUAUGGAUCCAACUCCUUGGGUUGCCAUAGGAAUUUUGGACGAUGGAUAUGCUUAGUAAGAUUGGAAGUGUGUGUGGGAGGCCAUUGUAUUGUGAUAAAUGUACUUUGUCUAAGGUGAAGAUUUGCUAGAAUUUUGGUGGAAAUGGAUUCUUCUAGUGAUUUUCCUGAUGUAAUUGAUUUGGUAGAUGAACAAGGAAUUGCUUUCCAUUAGAAAGUAAUUUAUGAAUGGAAGCUUGUUGUAUGUGUUAGUUGUAAGAGCUUUGGUCAUUUGAAACAAGAUUGUGAGAAUAGCAAAUAAGAGAAAAAGGGUAUGGAAGAUAAAGUCUAAGGAGCAAUAUAGAGGAUGAUCUGUAUAUGUUAAUUCAAGGCCUGUUGUGGUAAAGCCUGUAAAUGAAGUGCAAGGUGGGAGUUCUGGCUUGGUUUGUAGAGUUGUGGAUCAAGAGGUGGCCAAGGAAGUGUGGAAAGACAUAGUCAAAGGAAAGGCUGUUAUUUCUAAAGGGAAUAAUGAACUUCAUCAAACUCAAAAAUGUAAUAAAAAUAGAUCUGGUAAAUCAUUUGGAUAUAAUGUUGAGGGGGCCUCAAGGGGUGUUUUAAUUAAUGAGGGUAAUACACAUAAGAAGGGAAGUACUAAUGUGAGAAGUAAUGAAAUUUUUAGUUGUGGUGCUCAGAAUUGCAAUAACAGUUUUGGUGUUUUAGAAGGAUUAGGAGGAAGUGGUGAAAAUUUUACUACUAGUGUUCAAGGCAUUGAAGAGGGUAGGAAAGGCAGGGAUGCUAGCCUACCAAAGGUAUUGAAGUCUGAUUAUGUCAUGGAAUAUUAGAGGACUGAAGAGUCCUCUAAAGUAAUCAGAAAUGAAAGAUUUGAUUGCUAGAUAAAAGAUUGUGCUUAUGGGUGUUUUGGAGACUAGAGUAAGGGUGGAGAAUAUGGAUGCAGUGUGGGCUAAAUUCAAGCUAAAUCAAUGGAAUUUAGAACACAAUUAUCUGUUGUGUAAUCAAGGUAGAAUUUGGGUUUUAUAUGAUACCCUGAAGAUUAGUUUAAUGGUCAUGGAAACAGGAUCAUGAUUUAUCCAUUGCAAAGUUACUAGAGGUAAUACAGUGUUCUUCUGGACCUGUGUAUAUGGUUCAUAUAAUACUGAAGUGAGAAGGGAGUUAUGGAGAGAUUUGGCAAGGCUUGGCAGUGGGUUGAAUGUACCUUGGUUAAUACAAGGUGAUUUUAAUGCUAUUUGUAGCAAUGAGGAUAGGGAUGGAGGUGCCCCUGUUAAUGUGGGAGCUACAAAUAAAUUCCAGAGUUGGAUACUGGGAUUAGACCUGGUGGAAGUACAAUAUAGUGAUCCUAAGUUCACUUGGGCCAACUAUCAGGAGGGGGAUAGGAGAAUCUUUAGGAAAUUGGAUUGGUGCUUUGCUAAUAAGUUUUGGUAUGCACAAGGAAGGGAUCCCGCUUGCUCUGUAAUUAAUUGCAGUGUGUCUGAUCAUUGUGGCUUGUUGGUAGACAUAUACAGUCCAAGAUACCAUGUAAGAGUACCUUUCAGAUUUUUCAAUAUAUGGAGUGAACAUUAUGAUUUUUUCAAGAUAGUUGCCAGGGUUUGGAAGAUUCCUGUUAGUGGCAGUGCUAUGUUUAAGGUGUAUCACAAAUUGAAGAUGCUUAGAGCUGAAUUAAGAGGCCUUAACAGGAAAGAUUUUGAUGACAUUUUAGCAAAAGUUCUUAUGCGUAGGGAAGAAUUGGAGAAUGCCAGGUCAACAUUACAAGCAGACCCCUUUAAUCUGGAGCUUCAACAUGAGGAAAGAAUUAGACUUGGCCAAUUUUAAAGGACAUUAAAUUGGGAGGAAAGUCUGCUUAAGCAGAAAUCUAGAUAUCAGUGGAUCCAGGCAGGAGAUCAAAAUUCUAAAUUUUUCUUCAAAACUUUACAACAAAGGAAAGCCAGGAAUUACAUUUCUCGAUUGACUCUAUCAAAUGGGGACGAAUGCUUAGAUCCUUCUUCUAUUAAAGAGGCAAUAUUGGGUCAUUUUAAGGACUUUUUGGGCACUAAUAGAGCUAGAAAUGGUGUCUUUGAUAGUUUUGGUUUUGUAACAAAGGUGGUCUCAAGAGAUGAUUGGGAUAAUCUAUGUAAACCAAUGAAGGAUGAAGAGGUUAGAGAAGCACUAUGGAGUAUAAAGGAUGAUAAAUGUCCAGGGCCUGAUGGCUAUAACAGCUAUUACUAUAAGAAAGCAUGGAGCAUUGUAGGCUAGGAUAUCUGUCUAGUUAUUAAGGAUUAUUUUGUGAAUGGGGUGAUGCUGAGACAAGCAAAUUCUACAGCCAUUACUCUCAUUCCUAAGGUUGUUAGGCCAUAACCAAUCACAGAUUUCUGGCCUAUCUCCUGUUGCAAUGUCAUUUACAAAGUGAUAUCCAAGAUUCUAGCGUGGAGGUUGAAGAGUGUUUUGGGAAAGAUAAUCCAUUUGAAUCAAUUAGUAUUUAUCCCUGGUAGGCAGAUAUUAGAUAACAUAAUGUUGGCACAUGAGCUGCUUAAGGGGUAUCAUAAGCGAAAUCUAGGGUGUUGUGCUAUGAAAAUUGAUUUGCAUAAAGCAUAUGACUCUGUCUCAUGAGAUUUUGUGGAGGAGAUACUGUUGCCGUUUAGAUUUCUAGGCAAGUUCAUCAAGAUGAUAAUGAAUUCAGUGAGGUCUUGUAUGUUCUCAAUCAUGAUAAAUGGAUAGAUGGAGGGAUAUUUCCCUGGGAAAAGAGGGAUGCACUUUUAUUUAUUUUGUGCAUGGAGUACUUAACCAGAACAUUGCACAUGGGGAUGUUGUUUCAGUGAGGUUGAUCAAAAUGGCUCUACAUCAUUUCUAAGAAGUCUCAGGAUUAGUGCCCAAUUUGUAGAAAAGUGCAGUUUACUUCUCUGGGGUUAAACAUUCUGUUAGAGUACAAAUUAUGGAAAUUUUAGGAUUUUAAGAGGGAACACUACCAGUCAAGUACUUAGGUCUUCCCUUGAUUUCCACUAGACUGACAAGGGUACAAUGCCAAGAACUAGUUUCAAAAAUAACUGCUUGAAUAUCAACUUAUAUAGUCAAAACACUCUCCUAUGCUGGCAGGGUUCAACUAAUAAAAUCAGUUUUGUCUAGUUUGAAUGUCUAUUGGUGUUUUAUCUUUAUAUUACCUAUGGCAGUGGUUCAUGAAGUGGAGAAAUUAUGCAGGGAUUUUUUGUGGCAUGGUACUAGGGAAACUAGAAAAGAUGGCUUAGUUGCUUGGGAUGUGGUAUGCCAGUAGAAAGCUAUGGGAGGAUUAGGAAUUAAAUCUAUGCAUUUGUGGAAUCAGGAUCUUCGAAUAAAACACAUUUGGGAGUUGUUGCAGGAAAAACAGGCUUUAUGGGUAGUUUGGGUGACCAAGUUUAAAUUGAAAAAAGCUAAGUUUUUGGUGAAUUACAAAAAAAGUUGAUUGUAGCUGGAAUUGGAGGAAGUUACUGAAGAUGAGGGGAUUGCAAAGACGAUGUUUGAAUAUAAGUUGGGGAAUGGGAUGAAAUUCUCCUUUUGGUUUGAUCCUUGGUGUAAUGGAGCUCCAAUUGCUGAUAUUUUCCCAGAGCAUAAUUUCAGAGAGCCAUAUAUCUCUAGAGAAUUGGCUGUACAUGAGUUUUGGAGACAAGGUAGAUGGGUUUUACCAGCAAGAUGGAAUUCUAUUAUGCCUAGAAUUGCAGUUUUCUUGAAUGGUCAUUUUAUAGUUCAUGAGAAUAGAUUGGAUUCUAUUAUUUGCAGAUGGGUCAAAAAUGAAACCUUUGCUGUUGGCGGUGCCAUGGGAGCUUUAAUGUAGCCUCAAGUAAGAGUUAAUUGGGCAAAACUAGUAUGGUCAGCUAGCAAUAUUCCAAGACAUGCUUUUGUGUUUUGGUUGGCAUUGCAUAACAAAUUGCUUAUAAAAAAUAAAUUAUUUCAAUAGGAGAUUUCUAAUAAUGAUACUUGUGUACUAUGUAAUGAUGAUAAAGAGGAGAUUGGUCAUCUUUUCUUUGAGUGCUCCUUCUCUAGGGGAAUAUGGAGUAAAGUCUUGAGAGUUGUGAAUGUGGGAAGGGGACCUUUAACUUGGACGAGAGAUUUUAGUUUGUUUACCAAGAAGGCCGCUGGAAGACAUUGUUAGCAAGACAUAGAAGGGUAGCUUUGGCAACAAGUAUAUAUGUUAUCUGGAGGGCUCAGAAUGGUGUUAUUUUUCAACAGAGGAGGUGACUGGUGAAGAAAUAUUUCAGCAGAUCAGAGAGAUUAUGGUGUUAAAGUUUUCUAUCAGAUGUCCCGGAUUGGAGGGAUUGAUAAUGAAAUGUUCUGCAAAUGGUUUAGUUGAUGAUGAUUCUAACCAAUGGAAACUAAAACUAGUGGUUUUUAAUUGUUUGUUGAUAUAAAGUAAGUGGAGGCAGUUAUCAUAGUAGAGGUUUGUUGAUUGGUGGAAGGAGUGUGUGUGAUUGGUAGUGCCUGAUUUUUCAUUUUGUCUUUUGUGAUGUUUGGGUGUGAGUUUAGGAGUGCGAUGGUGGUAAUGGGCCGGGGUGGACCCUUUUGAGGGUUGGUCUUUUACUGUUUUGUAAAUGUUGAGCUUAAUAAAUAUAUUUGGUUUGAAUUGACAAAAAAAAAUCUGGAAUUGAUUUUGUCUAACUUCUUGAUGAAUAGGUUGGGGUGCUUACCUUUUGGCUUUAGAAAAUGCAGACAGUCUAAUUAUAUCCCAAACAAAUAAUAUAGAGCUGGAUAGAUAAUAUUUUUAGAAGUGUUAACGAUCAUGUACGACUUGAUGGAACUGUUGUUUGUAUUAGUUUAGGACAUUCUGUCCAUUUAAUGCUUUUCCAUGCUUGUUUUUGCUAUACUAGAAUGACACUGAUGACUGACCACAUUUAAAGCUAUGGUUUCUGAAUGGUUUCUUUUGAUACUUGAAUUUCCAAUACACCUUACUGUUUAAAUUUAAAUAUAAGCUUGGCUAAAGUACACUAGAACCUCUUCUUUAUUAGUCCGGGAUUAUUAUUGGGUAGGCAUUGGUGCAUAUGUUGCAAACAGAUUAUAUUCCAAUGUUGUCACUUUAUAUCUUGAAGAAAAUUUUACCACAACGUUUCUCUCUUGAUCUUUUUAUAAUAGACAGGAUAAUGUACUUUGUGCACUACAUUAACCUGUAACGGCUUUGAUAAAAUGUUGUCUUACGCUAUGUUCUUCUUUUCUGGGACAGGUAACUUCUUAAAUUUUGCAAAAUUGAAGAUUUGAUAUGACUUUCACUUCUAUGGGACAUUGUUUAGAAGAUUGAGCCGAAGGUACACAUUUUCAUGCUUACAGUAUGAGGACAUUUUGUUCAUGCAGAAUGACUGAAAACGAAUACUUAGGUCAAAGAAAUGGUAUUCUUGAUCAGUCAUCGGUAAUGCUUUCUAAAUAUGGUUGUCGAAUACACAUGAACUGCAAGCAAUCAAGGAGUUAAUGGCAAGCUAAUGGGAGCGGUGAUACCAAGAUGGUCUCAGUGCAUUCUAGUUAGCAGAUCUCUGUUUCAUUUUGUUCAUAGAGGGGAUAGACAAUACUAUUUUGUAAUGAAUCUAUACAUUUCUUAUUAU